AACGAACGCUGGCGGCAGGCUUAACACAUGCAAGUCGAGCGCCCCGCAAGGGGAGCGGCAGACGGGUGAGUAACGCGUGGGAACGUACCCUUUGCUACGGAAUAGCUCCGGGAAACUGGAAUUAAUACCGUAUGUGCCCUACGGGGGAAAGAUUUAUCGGCAAAGGAUCGGCCCGCGUUGGAUUAGCUAGUUGGUGGGGUAAUGGCCUACCAAGGCGACGAUCCAUAGCUGGUCUGAGGGGAUGAUCAGCCACAUUGGGACUGAGACACGGCCCAAACUCCUACGGGAGGCAGCGGUGGGGAAUAUUGGACAAUGGGCGCAAGCCUGAUCCAGCCAUGCCGCGUGAGUGAUGAAGGCCUUAGGGUUGUAAAGCUCUUUCACCGGAGAAGAUAAUGACGGUAUCCGGAGAAGAAGCCCCGGCUAACUUCGUGCCAGCCGCCGCAGUAACAC
rnacentral:rRNA from 1 species